rnacentral:lncRNA from 1 species
GGGGGAACAUAAAUCCUUUCUUUUAUAGGGGCGAUUUGAUCAUCAUUAGUGGUUAUUUCGGAAUCACCUAGUUUGCCUUGGGUAGGUGCUGGAAGUAGUCUCUUAGUUUCUUCUGUACCUUCCUCUUCUUUUCCAGCACUUGUCGUGGCUUCUUCUCGUCUAUCAUAUGAUUUGCCACUUCUCAGAGUUCUAAUGGACUUGACAUGCUCAACAUUUCGAGGAUUAAUUUCGGGUUGGCUUAGGAAUGUGUCUUGCGCCCUCUCAUGCACAAUAGUUGCGAGCUGG